UAGGGAAUAUUGGACAAUGGGGGUAACCCUGACCCAGCCAUGCCGCGUGAGUGAUGAAGGCCUUCGGGUUGUAAAGCUCUUUUGGCGGGGACGAUGAUGACGGUACCCGUAGAAUAAGCCCCGGCUAACUUCGUGCCAGCAGCCGCGGUAAGACGAAGGGGGCAAGCGUUGUUCGGAAUUACUGGGCGUAAAGGGCGCGUAGGCGGUUUGCUUAGUCAGGCGUGAAAGCCCUGGGCUUAACCUGGGAUGUGCGCUUGAUACUGGCAGGCUUGAGUGUGGGAGAGGUUGGUGGAAUUCCCAGUGUAGAGGUGAAAUUCGUAGAUAUUGGGAAGAACACCGGUGGCGAAGGCGGCCAACUGGACCACAACUGACGCUGAGGCGCGAAAGCGUGGGGAGCAAACA
rnacentral:rRNA from 1 species